rnacentral:rRNA from 1 species
AGCAGCCGCGGUAAUUCCAGCUCCAAUAGCGUAUAUUAAAGUUGUUGCAGUUAAAAAGCUCGUAGUUGAAUUUCGAGAUCGGCUUAUUGGUCGUGCUAUUGUACGUACUGGUAUAAUCGGUUUCUCCUUUCUGACGAACUAUAAUGCCAUUAAUUUGGUGUUAUAGGGAAUCAGGACUGUUACUUUGAAAAAAUUAGAGUGUUUAAAGCAGGCUAACGCUUGAAUACAUUAGCAUGGAAUAAUGAAAUAGGACGUUCGAUCUUAUUUUGUUGGUUUCUAGGAUUGACGUAAUGAUUAAUAGGGAUAGUUGGGGGCAUUAGUAUUCAAUUGUCAGAGGUGAAAUUCUUGGAUUUAU